GGGUUAUUGGUAUAGGGGUAGCAUACCUGCUUCGGGUUUUCAAGCCCGGCUUCACAGCUGAAUUUGCAGGAGACCCCGGUUCGAAUCCGGGAUGACCCC